AUAACCAGCGAAGAUCGAAAAUCGAUUGCAACUCAUAAUAAGGGCCUGUGACUAAUGUAAUUGAUGAUAUACAAAUGUUUUGUCGCAUUAGUGGCUCCAGCAAUGACAGAAGUAGCAAGCAAAAUAACACGGUGCUACAAACAGAAAAAGGCUGCAUGUACUUUUUAUGUUAUGUAGUGGAGGGGGUAAAACAAGUCUAAAAACAAUUCUGGUAUUAGCAGAAUCUCAAAUAUAUCCCCACAAUCCUAAGUUAUGAUCAAAAAAUUGAAAAUCCGCGAUUUGAGGUCAAAACACCGGUCAAGAAUUGGACAGUUUUCAACGGAUUGUGAUAGCCUAUUGCGAGUAUCAACUAGAAGAAGAUAAACGACUACUAAGCGAUUAUCAUUAUCGAUUCUAUUGUGAGUGUCGAUUAAUCGCUUAUCCUUCUACUGCUGUUUUUGAGUCGAUAGAGUUUGCAUGAACAAAAUUGUGGUGAUAUAAAUAAAUAAAUAAUGGAUAAAAAAUCAAAAUUGGUUAGCAAUAAAAAGCAACUUGGGCGGCUGGUCCAGCUGAUGCAGGACAAUCAGGACUUGGCUAAAGGAAUUUGUAGUUGAACUGAACAGCUUGGGACCACCACUACGUGCAUGGUAAAAGUGGUUAAAGGUGAAAUAAAUGCAUAUUAAGCUUUAAUUAAUAAAAUAAUUUAUACUAAUAUA